UAGAAAUGUAAUAAUUUGGCUGGAGUAAGUCCAACCGCAUUGUAAAGUUAAUGAAUUCCUUAGCAGAUCUUUUUUUUUUUUUUUUUUUAAGACGUUGCAUUCAGAAAGAGCCACCGAGCACAAAAUUAAUUGGGCAGGCUUACAAAAUAUCCAACUCAGACAUUAUAGGAGUCAAUGAGAGAGGUUGUGUGGAGAAAGGCUUAUUGCUUUUAUCUCCCCGCGUGUCACAGUUGUACAGCCAGCGAUGAUGAUGCUUUAUAUUGAAAAUUAAAGGAGUGCUUCAAAGCCAAUUUAGAAUGAGAAAGGAAAAACUGUUGUUGCGGGACUAAACUUGGUGGGAAUUGUGACUUACCACUGCAGCACAGCCCCAGGGCUCGCUGCUGGCAGGCGUCUGCUGACCUGAUCUGGAGCUUUUGCACAGGUCAGAGCAUAAAGUGAGCACAGUGCACGUGUGGUCUUGGAUUUCCCCAUGGGGACAGAGGUGCUUUGCCCUGGGACUCACUCUGCAGCAUCUCUGAUGCUUCUGCCUGCAUUUUAUGCUGGGACUGGCUUAUGUCUCCACCUUCUCCUGGUGCUGAGAUGGUUCAUUCACCAUCUUUGCAUGUUGGAACAAAACUACCAGUGUGCCUGCUGGAGUCUGUGAGAAGAAAACCCCUUUGUAUGUGAGGAUCCAAAUCAAUGUGACCUAACAUUAAGCUUUAAGUUAGUCUUAGUCCCCUGAGUUGUAUCCAUCAUCAUAGCAAAUUGAGGGAUAAGAGACAGAAGUCUCUUCAGCAUCAUGAUGCCCUGUCCCUGGAGACACCCAAGGUCAGGCUGGACUCUGAGCACCUGAUGGAGCUGUGGGUGUCCCUGUUCAUUGCAGGGGAGUUGGACCAGAUGGCCUUCAGGGGUCCCUUCCAUCUCAAACCAUUCUGUGAUUCAGUCAUUCCAGCCAUCCUUGCUUCUCUCCCUGGACCACAAAGGAAGGCAGAAAGAUACAUCACCUACUUUGGCAUCUCAACGAGGAGCAUGAAGAGUCUGAAUGAACCCAAAUCCCAGGACCCAUAUAGAGCCCUUCAGCACGCAAGUGACUUCACAAGCAAACCAAACCCGAGGAGAAUUUCUGGGACGGCAAGUCUCUUAGGAGCUCUUAAUAUCACGUUGGCUGCAGAGUCCUCCUGCUGGAAAUCAUAAAUAUGAGUCACUCUUGAAAGAUUCACUGCUGAGUUUAAAAAAUAAAUUGCUCAGAAGAACCCA
ensembl:lncRNA